CACUGCAUUCUGUGCAGUAUCCUAAGUUGAAUACAUAGACUUAGAGAAGCGAACCCGGAGAACUGAACCAUCUAAGUACCCGGAGGAAAAGAAAUCAACCGAGAUUCCGCAAGUAGUGGCGAGCGAACGCGGAGGAGCCUGUACGUGAUAAUUGUCGAGAUAGAAGAACAAGCUGGAAAGCUUGGCCAUAGUGGGUGAUAGUCCCGUAUUCGAAAUCUCAAUAGUGGUACUAAGCGUACGAAAAGUAGGGCGGGACACGUGAAAUCCUGUCUGAAUAUGGGGGGACCAUCCUCCAAGGCUAAAUACUCAUCAUCGACCGAUAGUGAACCAGUACCGUGAGGGAAAGGCGAAAAGAACCCCGGGAGGGGAGUGAAAUAGAACCUGAAACCUGAUGCAUACAAACAGUGGGAGCGCCCUUGUGGUGUGACUGCGUACCUUUUGUAUAAUGGGUCAACGACUUACAUUCAGUAGCGAGCUUAACCGGAUAGGGGAGGCGUAGGGAAACCGAGUCUUAAUAGGGCGAAGAGUUGCUGGGUGUAGACCCGAAACCGAGUGAUCUAUCCAUGGCCAGGUUGAAGGUGCCGUAACAGGUACUGGAGGACCGAACCCACGCAUGUUGCAAAAUGCGGGGAUGAGCUGUGGAUAGGGGUGAAAGGCUAAACAAACUCGGAGAUAGCUGGUUCUCCCCGAAAACUAUUUAGGUAGUGCCUCGAGCAAGACACUGAUGGGGGUAAAGCACUGUUAUGGCUAGGGGGUUAUUGCAACUUACCAACCCAUGGCAAACUCAGAAUACCAUCAAGUGGUUCCUCGGGAGACAGACAGCGGGUGCUAACGUCCGUUGUCAAGAGGGAAACAACCCAGACCGCCAGCUAAGGUCCCAAAUGAUAGAUUAAGUGGUAAACGAAGUGGGAAGGCCCAGACAGCCAGGAUGUUGGCUUAGAAGCAGCCAUCAUUUAAAGAAAGCGUAAUAGCUCACUGGUCGAGUCGUCCUGCGCGGAAGAUGUAACGGGGCUCAAAUCUAUAACCGAAGCUGCGGAUGCUAGUUUACUAGCAUGGUAGGGGAGCGUUCUGUAGGCCGAAGAAGGUGCAUUGUAAAGUGUGCUGGAGGUAUCAGAAGUGCGAAUGUUGACAUGAGUAGCGAUAAAGCGGGUGAAAAGCCCGCUCGCCGAAAGCCCAAGGUUUCCUACGCAACGUUCAUCGGCGUAGGGUGAGUCGGCCCCUAAGGCGAGGCAGAAAUGCGUAGUCGAUGGGAAACAGGUUAAUAUUCCUGUACUUGAUUCAAAUGCGAUGUGGGGACGGAGAAGGUUAGGUUAGCAAGCUGUUGGAAUAGCUUGUUUAAGCCGGUAGGUGGAAGACUUAGGCAAAUCCGGGUCUUCUUAACACCGAGAAGUGAUGACGAGUGUCUACGGACAUGAAGUAACCGAUACCACGCUUCCAGGAAAAGCCACUAAGCUUCAGUUUGAAUCGAACCGUACCGCAAACCGACACAGGUGGGCAGGAUGAGAAUUCUAAGGCGCUUGAGAGAACUCGGGAGAAGGAACUCGGCAAAUUGAUACCGUAACUUCGGGAGAAGGUAUGCCCUCUAAGGUUAAGGACUUGCUCCGUAAGCCUUGGAGGGUCGCAGAGAAUAGGUGGCUGCGACUGUUUAUUAAAAACACAGCACUCUGCUAACACGAAAGUGGACGUAUAGGGUGUGACGCCUGCCCGGUGCUGGAAGGUUAAUUGAAGAUGUGAGAGCAUCGGAUCGAAGCCCCAGUAAACGGCGGCCGUAACUAUAACGGUCCUAAGGUAGCGAAAUUCCUUGUCGGGUAAGUUCCGACCCGCACGAAUGGCGUAACGAUGGCCACACUGUCUCCUCCCGAGACUCAGCGAAGUUGAAGUGGUUGUGAAGAUGCAAUCUACCCGCUGCUAGACGGAAAGACCCCGUGAACCUUUACUGUAGCUUUGCAUUGGACUUUGAAGUCACUUGUGUAGGAUAGGUGGGAGGCUUAGAAGCAGAGACGCUAGUUUCUGUGGAGCCGUCCUUGAAAUACCACCCUGGUGGCUUUGAGGUUCUAACCCAGACCCGUUAUCCGGGUCGGGGACCGUGCAUGGUAGGC
rnacentral:rRNA from 1 species